UCUACCCUGCGGUGUUCGAGAUUUGUCAUAUAUUCCUUGAACCAUUCUUACGCAUAGGUUGUGGAACAUUCUUGAUGGGCGUGAUCGUCACUUGCUUGACGAACCCGAAAUUGAGCUGACUGCGACCACCUUGAGCCGUUCAGGUUCGGGAUGCCGGCAAAAACGGCACAGGCGGGGCUUUA
rnacentral:other from 1 species